rnacentral:rRNA from 1 species
CCUACGGGUGGCAGCAGUGGGGAAUAUUGCACAAUGGGGGAAACCCUGAUGCAGCGACGCCGCGUGCGUGAAGACGUAACUCGUUAUGUUAAGCUCUAUUAGCAGGGAAGUAAAUGACGGUACCUGAGUAAGAAGCCCCGGCUAACUACGUGCCAGCAGCCGCGGUAAUACGUAGGGGGCAAGCGUUAUCCGGAUUUACUGGGUGUAAAGGGAGCGUAGACGGCAGUGCAAGUCUGGAGUGAAAGGCGGAGGCUCAACCCCCGGACUGCUCUGGAAACUGUACGGCUGGAGUGCAGGAGUGGUAAGUGGAAUUCGUAGUGUAGCGGUGAAAUGCGUAGAUAUUA